UACAGAGGUCUCAAGCGUUGUUCGGAUUCAUUGGGCGUAAAGGGUGCGUAGGCGGCGCGGUAAGUCGGGUGUGAAAUCUCGGAGCUUAACUCCGAAACUGCACUCGAUACUGCUUUGCUUGAGGACUGGAGAGGAGAUUGGAAUUCACGGUGUAGCAGUGAAAUGCGUAGAUAUCGUGAGGAAGACCAGUGGCGAAGGCGGAUCCCUGGACAGUUCCUGACGCUGAGGCGCGAAGGCCAGGGGAGCAAACGGG
rnacentral:rRNA from 1 species